AAAUAAACCUGAUGGGAACGAGCAUCCCGAUUCUUCCAUCGGGAUAAAGUGUACAGCAGGACUGAAA
rnacentral:sRNA from 1 species